rnacentral:tRNA from 1 species
GUAUAUGUAGCUCAGUGGUAAAGUGCAUCCUUAGCAUGCAUGAGGUCCUGGGUUCAAUCCCCAGCAUCUCCA